CUGGCUCAGAUUGAACGCUGGCGGCAGGCUAACACAUGCAAGUCGAGCGGGGAUAGGGUGCUUGCACCUGAUCCUAGCGGCGGACGGGUGAGUAAUGCUUAGGAAUCUGCCUAUUAGUGGGGGACAACGUUCCGAAAGGGACGCUAAUACCGCAUACGUCCUACGGGAGAAAGCAGGGGAUCUUCGGACCUUGCGCUAAUAGAUGAGCCUAAGUCGGAUUAGCUAGUUGGUGAGGUAAAGGCCUACCAAGGCGACGAUCUGUAGCGGGUCUGAGAGGAUGAUCCGCCACACUGGGACUGAGACACGGCCCAGACUCCUACGGGAGGCAGCAGUGGGGAAUAUUGGACAAUGGGGGCAACCCUGAUCCAGCCAUGCCGCGUGUGUGAAGAAGGCCUUUUGGUUGUAAAGCACUUUAAGCGAGGAGGAGGCUUACCUGGUUAAUACCCGGGAUAAGUGGACGUUACUCGCAGAAUAAGCACCGGCUAACUCUGUGCCAGCAGCCGC
rnacentral:rRNA from 1 species